rfam:Snodgrassella alvi SCGC AB-598-P14 SCG598P14_112503, whole genome shotgun sequence.
CAUUAUAUUGACAGCCAUGAAAUCGCUAAUGCGGCGAUUAAUGCAAAACUUUAAAAGC